UCCCGCCCAUACGCACAAGUGGUUGGUCUGUGGCGCUUGUCAAUCGGUGUGAGUCGCUGUGCGAUUGGCCGGUGGGAUAAAAGCGCGGAGGAGCUCCCUUCCGCAGUGUGAAGCCGGCUUGGCGUGACCCUCGCCUGACCCAGUUGUUAGAGGUGGAAGCUUGGCAAUUGUCCUCCCUUCUUCCCAUGGAGGACAGGGGCUUAACGGCCUUUGAAGAGGACCAGAGAUGCUUUUCCCAGAGCCUUCCCUUGCCAGUGCCAGCAGAGGGCCCAGCUACACAGACCACUGCCAAGCCCAGCAAGUCGUUUUCCUCAGCCCACAGACAUCCGAGCAGAAGGAAUGGGCUUUCCAGACUCUGCCAGAGCAGGACGGCACUGUCCGAAGACAGAUGGAGCUCCUACUGUCUGUCAUCACUGGCUGCCCAGAAUAUUUGUACAAGUAAACUGCACUGCCCUGCCCCCCCCGAGCCCGCGGACCCGGCCGGGCCUGGGGGCAGUGUGUCCUGCUGCUCCCUGCUGCGGGGACUGUCCUCAGGGUGGUCGUCACCCCUGCUUCCGGCCCCUGUGUGCAACCCUAACAAGGCCAUCUUCACUGUGGAUGCCAAGACCACAGAGAUUCUGGUUGCUAACGACAAAGCUUGCAGGCUCCUGGGGUACAGCAGCCAGGACCUGAUUGGCCAGAAGCUCACGCAGUUCUUUCUGAGGUCAGAUUCCGAUGUGGUUGAGGCCCUCAGCGAGGAGCAUAUGGAGGCUGACGGCCACGCUGCGGUGGUGUUCGGCACGGUGGUGGACGUCAUCAGCCGUAGUGGGGAGAAGAUUCCAGUGUCUGUGUGGAUGAAGAGGAUGCGGCAGGAACACCGCCUGUGCUGCGUGGUAGUCCUGGAGCCCGUGGAGAGGGUCUCGACCUGGGUUGCUUUCCAGAGCGAUGGCACCAUCACGUCAUGUGACAGUCUCUUUGCUCAUCUUCACGGGUACGUGUCUGGGGAGGACAUGGCUGGGCAGCACAUCACAGACCUGAUCCCUUCUGUGCAGCUCCCUCCUUCUGGCCAGCACAUCCCAAAGAAUCUCAAGAUUCAGAGGUCUGUUGGAAGAGCCCGGGACGGCACCACCUUCCCUCUGAGCUUAAAACUGAAAUCCCAACCCAACAGUGAGGAGGCGAUCACCAGUGAGGCGGCCCCUGCGAGGGGCUACUGGGCAUCUAUCUGGGUGUUCUGCACCAUCAGCGGCCUCAUCACCCUCCUGCCAGAUGGGACCAUCCACGGCAUCAACCAUAGCUUUGCACUGACACUGUUUGGUUAUGGAAAGACCGAGCUCCUGGGCAAGAACAUCACUUUCCUGAUUCCUGGUUUCUACAGCUACAUGGACCUUGCGUACGACAGCUCAUUACAGCUCCCAGACCUGGCCAGCUGUCUGGAUGUCGGUGAUGAGAGUGGGUGUGGGGAGAAAACCUUGGACCCAUGGCAGGGCCAGGACCCCGCUGAGGGGGCCCAGGAUCCAAGGAUCGAUGUCGUGCUUGCUGAUGGCCACAUUGUGCCCCAAGAUGAGACCCAGAAGCUAGUGGAAAGCCAAGACAUCUUCACCGGGACUCAGACUGACCUGGGGACUGGAAGCCAGCUCCUUUCCUGCCUCUCUCCUCAGCCUGCUCCAGGGGUGGACAGUGUCCCAGAAGGAAGCCUGCCAGUGCACGGUGAACAGGCGCUGCCCAAGGACCAGCAAGUCACUGCCUUGGGAAGAGAGGAACCUGUGGCAAUAGAGAGUCCCAGACAGGAUCUUCUGGGAGAAAGCAGGUCUGAACCAGUGGAUGUGAAGCCAUUUGCUUCUUGUGAAGAUUCUGCAGCUCCAGUCCCAGCUGAGGAUGGGGGCAGUAAUGCUGGCAUGUGUGGCCUGUGUCAGGAGGCCCAGCUAGAGCGGAUGGGAGUCAGUGGUCCCAGUGGUUCAGACCUUUGGGCUGGGGCUGCCAUGGCCAAGCCCCAGGCCAAGGGUCAGCUGGUAGGGGGCAGCGUCCUGAUGCACUGCCCUUGCUACGGGAGUGAAUGGGGCUUGUGGUGGCAAAGCCAGGACUUGGCCCCGAACCCCUCUGGGAUGGCAGGCCUCUCGUUUGGGACACCUACUCUAGAUGAGCCAUGGCUGGGAGUGAAAAAUGACCGAGAAGAGCUGCAGACCUGCUUGAUGAAGGAGCAGCUGUCCCAGUUGAGCCUUGCGGGAGCCCUGGAUGUGCCCCAUGCUGAACUCGUUCCGACAGAGCGCCCGGCUGUCCCUGCUCCUGUGGUGUCCUGCGAUCUGGGAGGCAGAGACCUACACGGUGGCUUCACGGGCAGCUCCUCAGCCUGCUAUGCCUUGGCCACGGACCUCCCAGGGGGCCCGGAAGCAGUGGAGGCCCAGGAGGUUGAUAUGAAUUCGUUUUCCUGGAACCUCAAGGAACUCUUUUUCAGUGACCAGACAGACCAAACUUCAUCGAGUUGUUCCUGUGCUAUGUCUGAACUCAGAGGGACACGCUCUUCCUUGGCAGUGGGCUCCGAUCCAGAUGUGGGCAGUCUCCAGGAACAGGGGUCAUGUGUCCUGGAUGACAGGGAGCUGUUACUACUGACCGGCACCUGUGUUGACCUUGGCCAAGGCCGACGGUUCCGGGAGAGCUGCCUGGAACAUGAUCCAACAGAACCGCUUGAGGUUUGUUUGAUGUCCUCUGAGCAUUAUGCAGCAAGCAACGGAGAAAGCCCAGGACACGUUCCUUCCGUGUUGGAUGCUGGCCCUGAGGACACGUGCCCAUCAGCAGAGGAGCCAAGGCUGAACGUCCAGGUCACCUCCACACCCUUGAUGCCCGGGGCUGCUGGCCUGCAGCGGGAGAUCCAGGAGGGUGCCUACUCCGGGAGCUGCUAUCAUCGAGAUGGCUUACGGCUGAGUGUACAGUUUGAGGUGAGACGGGUGGAGCUCCAAGGCCCCACACCUCUGUUCUGCUGCUGGCUGGUGAAAGACCUCCUCCACAGCCACCGCGACUCAGCUGCCAGGACCCGCCUGUUCCUUGCCAGCCUGCCCAGCUCCACCCACUCUACCACUGCGGAGCUCACCGGACCCAGCCUGGUGGAAGUGCUCAGAGCCAGACCCUGGUUUGAGGAGCCCCCCAAGGCUGUGGAACUGGAGGGAUUGGCGGCCUGUGAGGGCGAGUACUCCCAAAAGUACAGCACCCUGAGCCCGCUGGGUAGUGGGGCCUUCGGCUUCGUGUGGACUGCUGUGGACAAGGAAAAAAACAAGGAGGUGGUGGUGAAGUUUAUUAAGAAGGAGAAGGUCUUGGAGGAUUGUUGGAUUGAGGAUCCCAAACUUGGGAAAGUUACUUUAGAGAUUGCAAUUCUAUCCAGGGUGGAGCAUGCCAAUAUCAUCAAGGUAUUGGAUGUAUUUGAAAACCAAGGGUUCUUCCAGCUCGUGAUGGAGAAGCACGGCUCCGGCCUAGACCUCUUCGCUUUCAUCGACCGCCACCCCAGGCUGGAUGAGCCCCUGGCGAGCUACAUCUUCCGACAAUUAGUGUCAGCGGUGGGAUACCUACGUUUGAAGGACAUCAUUCACCGCGACAUCAAGGACGAGAACAUUGUGAUCGCCGAGGACUUCACAAUCAAGCUGAUAGACUUUGGCUCGGCCGCCUACUUGGAAAGGGGAAAAUUAUUUUAUACUUUUUGUGGAACCAUCGAGUACUGUGCACCGGAAGUUCUCAUGGGGAAUCCGUACGUAUGCUGUUGCGGUGCAGCCUGUCCUCACGUCCUCUGUCAGGACCCCGAGGCCGGCUUGAUUUUGGGUGGGAAAAUGGCUUCCUUCGUGCCUCUUUGUGAUGAGAGCGUUGAGUGAUCAGGGUGAUGUGCUGAAAAGUAAGUGGGCAGGCAGGCAAGGUCAUAUUGGGCAAAGGCACUGGGUGAUGGAUUUAGGAUUAAUCGUUUUAUUUUCUCAGCUUUUAUUUGCUUGGCGUUUCAUCUAAUAAAAAGCCAAGAAAAAUACUGAAGAGUCCCCCAAAAUGGCACUCUUCAAAUAAGUGAAGAGGAUGCUUUUUAGUUGGGUUUAUUUAUUUUGAUGACAGGAAUAAUAUCUAUUUUGAUAAAAUACCGCGGGGCUGACCACACAAGGAAUCAGGCAUUGGAAAAAGUCCCGAGGCAGAGGGUUCGUGCUGAAGGCGGAGCCCUGGCUGGAGGGGCUGUCGCUGCCCAGCAGAUUCCACGUCGCUGGAAUGGGCCGGCGGAGCCUCUGCUCUGCUGUGGGGAGAAGCGGCGUCCUGGGGUGUGUGGCUGAGUUUGCAGCUCUGCAGUCAGGGGAGCCUGUGAGUUGGGGGCUGGCCUGGGCAGGGCCUCCUCUUGGGGAACUUAAGAGAGGAAAGCAAGACGGAAAGGAAGACUGUUGUUCAUUUGUAGGGCCUGAGUGGAGGCUGUCUGCUGAUGGUGCUUUCUGCUGCACAUGCCUGAUCACUGUCUCAUCUGCUUGUAAACCAAGUGUGUCUUUAUGUGUAUGAAAUAGACUUUAUUAAAUCAGAAACAGACAAGAGGUAUUUUCUGCUAGCACCUCCACGUGUUUUAGAGAGGUGUGGUUGGAAAUCGGUGUGGUUGGAAUGCUUCUCUAGGUGAGUUCAUGGUUGGAGGGUCGGAUGAUCACAGCACUGCUUGGACCCUCCCCGCUUGCUGCUGCAGCGCUCUGCUGCACUGCCCAUAUCUGCUCCAUGCGGUUCUCUAGGAGUGAAACUGAUGCUGCCCUCACAGGAGAGGCGCACGGGGUCCCUCACAGACCUGCUUGGAGCUGCACCUGACCUGGCGGCCUGAGGUCAGAGCGUUUGCUUGCAGUUGCCAUGUGAGCUCCAUGCCAUGCCUUGGGCUCUCGUGAGAGCCUCAGCAUCUGACAGAGGAGGGGCCUGGGCACUGGAUCCCAGUGUCUGCUUAGGCCAUGUUUCAUCAGUCAGGAGGUGCAGGUUCCAGGCUGCGCAGCCUGAGUCCUCAGAGCCCAGCAGCCUUGGCCUGCGCCAGCCUCUCCACGCCAGGCAGCAUUGAGCUCUUCUGGGCCUGGAUGCCCUGUGUGCAGAGUGUGGAGGAAGUGUAAAUGGGCUCUUCCCUUCUAGAACCUCCAUGCAUCUUCAGAGCCACCAAAUGGCAUGAAAUAUUGAAGGGAGUUGGUCUAAGAAGGGACUUGGAGUUUCCCUUCAGAUCUAGUUUGGUUGCCCUGGAGCCUGGUGGGCACUGGUGGGCUCUGACUCCCUUGCAGUGGCUGUCGUGUCCUCUGUGCAGGAGGGAACUGCCUGUCCCUUGUCCACUGACCCAUGAUGCCUGCUGCAUGGCUUGUCACCCCUUCCUGCACCCAGGCCACGAAGCUUGGGGAGGGUGUAGGGGGGAUCCAACCUGGGUGAGAGCUCAGUGCUGCUUGGCCACCUUGCCCUUGCCUCCCAGAGCUGUGGCUCCCACCCUCUUCCUGAGCACCUGCCCUGCCUCCUGGCCCCUCCUUUCUGGCUGUGAGCUGUAUGCUGCUCCUGGGCCUGCUGGGCUGCAGGCCUCUUCUCGGGAGCUCCUUCCUCCCUCCUGCGUCCUCUCCCCAUCUCCCUGGGUGAAAGGGUUUCUGAGUUCUGGUUCUCAAUCCCAUCCUCAGGGACCUGGCUUCUGUCUUGUCAUCUUCAUCUCCGUCUACUCCACGGUCAGCAGACUGUGGCCUUAGGUCCCCAUCCCCCUUCCUCAGGCCCUGGCAGCCGCCAUUCUGCUUUCUUCUCUAUGAAUCUGACUACUCUAGGGACCGCCUAUAUGUGGAAUCAUACAGCAUUUGCCUUUUGGUGACUGGCUUAUUUCACUUAGUAUAAAGUCCUCAAGGUCGAUCCAUGUUGUGGCCUGUGCCAGCAUCUUCCUUUUCGAGGCUGAAUUUGAUUGCGUUUUCUGGAUGUGCUGUACUUAUUCAUCUGUCAGUGGACAUUUGGGUUGCUUCUACCUUUGCUUUCAUCUGUAUGUUGUUUGUGAUGUUGCUACAAACGUGUUUGCAAACAUCCCCUGCCUCUUGUUUCUAUAAAUAAAGUUUUAUCGGGAUGGAGCUGUGCUCAUUGGCUUAUGUGUUGUCUGUAGCUGCCUUUGUCCUACAUGACAGUUGAGUUGCAGUGGGGACCAUGUGGCCCAAAACCUGAAAUAUUUACUAUUUGACCCUUUACAGGAAAAGUUUGCCAACCUCUGUUCUAGUCUAUUGGAUAUUUCUCUUCAUCUUCUAAAAGUUUUGAAAUCUAAAAAACAGAAACAACACAAAAACAAAAACUGCCAAAUCUGAUUUUCUUGCUGUAGCCCCUACAGCUCUCAUCCAUCCCCUCAGUUUCCCUGUGGUCUGUGCUAGCAACCCCACCACCCCCCUGACUCAACCUGGUGGCCUGACUCUUACCCACGCUGCUGCUCUGGCCUCUGUGAUCUGCCGUCUUGAGCCCUCCCCUCCCCGCCCAGCCCCUCAUCUCUGAGUCCAGCCCAGGGCUCUGUCCGUGCCGCUCUUCUCACUGCUGUGGUUUCUCUUGGCUCCCUUGUCUAAUUCCAGUUCUGGGAAGAGGCUGCUGCUUCCCAGACCUCUUCUGGGGAUAGACCCCCAGCUGCGGACCCAGAGGUGCAUGGCCUUGGCCAGUGCAGGGGCAGGGCCGUGGGUGCAGGUGACCUGGCUCCGGAGUGUGCUUGGCAGUACCUUCACCUCACCAAGCCUUGCUCUUCUUCUGUGUAAAAUGAAGGUAAUAUUUAUCUUGCUAGGUUGUUGUGAGGAUUUGGGUUAAGCCAUGUAAAAUGCUGGUACAGCGUUGGCAUCUCUAGGUACCCAGUAAAUGGUGGCGUGGAUGAGGAUGUUUAUGGCGAUAGGAAAUAACAAUAGUCCUUUGGGUGUCUUCUCCUUGAAGCUUGCUCCUCCAGUCGGCCCAUUGUAUGAACAUCUGCCUUCACCACAUCCUUCUUGUUUGCUUUCAUCCUUCGGUAUUUCUGCCUGUUCAGUCUCGUCCUGCAGCACCCUUCACAUCGUCGCCACAGUGAUCUUCCUAAAGGGCACGUGUGUCAGUGGUCACACCAAGCUGAACAUGCCCGAUCACGUCUGAAGGGCACGUGACCCUGUUCUGAAGUGGCCUGCGGUCCUGUGGCCCUCAGCAGAGCCAAUGGACGUGUACUCUGCUUCCUCCAGGAAGCCCUCCCCCACCUCUGGUGGACACGUCUUGUGCUACAGAGGGCCGGAGCUGGAGAUGUGGUCUCUGGGAGUCACUCUGUACACGCUGGUCUUUGAGGAAAACCCCUUCUGUGAGCUGGAGGAGACUGUGGAGGCUGCCAUACACCCGCCAUACCUGGUGUCCAAAG